rnacentral:rRNA from 1 species
AGCGCGCUGUAGGCGGCCGGGUAAGUUGGACGUGAAAGCUCCUGGCUCAACUAGGAGAGGUCGUUCAAAACUGCCUGGCUAGAGGGCGACAGAGGGAGGUGGAAUUCCCGGUGUAGUGGUGAAAUGCGUAGAUAUCGGGAGGAACACCAGUGGCGAAGGCGGCCUCCUGGGUCGCCCCUGACGCUCAGACGCGAAAGCUAGGGGAGCAAACGGGAUUAGAUACCCCGGUAGUCCUAGCUGUAAACGAUGUGGACUUGGCGUUGGUGGGGUCAAAUCCAUCAGUGCCGUAGCUAACGCGAUAAGUCCACCGCCUGGGGACUACGACCGCAAGGUUAAAACUCAAAGGAAUU